rnacentral:rRNA from 1 species
AUCCUCACCACUUGGUGGCUUUGGAAGCAGCGGAAUGCAUGCAUCUUUGAUGGCGAUCGACCUUCCCGUCUCUCCAACGUCAUCAAAGACGAGGCGCGCCUUUGGGCAAAGGCCGGCGCAACCGAGAUAAAAAACAUCAUCCCAGAGACUUAG